CCAUGUAGCCAAACCUCCUUGCCAAUGUCGGAUCUUGUUAGAUCUUGGAAGCUAAGCAAAGCCGGGCCUGGUUAGUACUUGGAUGGGAGACAGCUCGGAAUACCAGGCAGUGGCUCUAUGGG
rnacentral:rRNA from 1 species